GUGUAAUUAAGUAUCAUUCAAUAAGUAAUUUUAUUAACUUUUUUGUUUCUCAUUUACAACCCGUCUGUUUAUUAAAAACAUUUCCAUAUUAUUUAUUUUAUAUGGUAGUACCUGCUCUAUGUGUUAUAAAUGGCCGCAGUAUCUUGACUGUGCGAAGGUAGCAUAAUUAAUUGCCCCUUAAAUGGGGGCUUGUUUGAAUGGUUUGACGUGGUUGUCUUUAACAUAAGAGUUUUUAUUGAAAUUAAUGUUGUGAAUUCAGAAUUUACAUUAGUUAAUUAGACGGAAAGACCCUAGGAUCUUUACAAAUUUUGCUUGGGGCAAGUGAGAAUUAUUUAUUUGCUUUAAGACCCUUAUAAAAGUUUAUAGGUUUAAGUUACCCUAGGGAUAACAGAGUAAUAGUUUAUUAGAGUUCUUAUCGAUUAAACUGUUUGCUACCUCGAUGUUGACUUGGGUUAAUGCUCUGGCGCAGUAGUUAGAGGUUUGGGUCUGUUCGACCCUAAGUACCCCCAUGAGUUGAGUUAAGACCGGCGUAAGCCAGGUCGGUUUUUUUUUUUUUUUUUUUUAAAAAAAAUUUUUAAAAAAAUUUAAUA
rnacentral:rRNA from 1 species